GUAAAAAAGAAAGACAUGUAUCGGAAUAAGAUACUCCCAAAAUAUUUAAUUUUAAAAUAAAUAAUUUACUUAAAAAUUAAAAUUUGAUAAGUAUUCAAUUACAAAAAUGGAAACAGAUUUUUCGAAAAGUUCACAAGAAAUUAUGAACAAAAAUUCUGAAAACUAUGCUCAAAUAAAUUUUUCUCAAGUUUGUAACAACUUAAAAGAAAAUAUUGUUGAUAAAAAUGGGACUGUGUUAAUUUCAACAAAUGCUGAUAACUAUAAAGAAGCUGCAAGUGAUGUAACGAAUAGUAAUAUAAACGAAAAUAACUAUAGUAUUCUAGAGGAUGCAAGUGAUUCUGGAGUAAACUGUCUUGAUUCAGAAUCAAGCGAAAUAUUUGUUGGAUCAUUUAGUUCCCAAAACGAAUUUGAAUUAGACAAUAACCCAUUUUGCAAUAAAAUCGAUAAUCAUAUCUCGAAUAAAAAGACACCAAAUAAAGCAGAUCUCGAUAUACUAGCUAAAGAACAACCUUUAAAUGAAAAUAAGAAGGGUGAAAACGAAAUUGGGAAAAAUGAAGAAUUGGCAAGGAUAAACAAUGCAGCAAAUAACAAUAUUAAUACUGACACAGGAAAUAUAAAAUAUCGCAACAAAACUAAGAAUUCGACAAAAGCACCAAAGAAACGUGUUUCGUUUCAUGAAGAUAUUUUAAAAAAUACUCGGACAGAUAACAUUCAUAUUGAACAUGGAUUCAUUACGUACAAAAAUUCAAGAAAAAUAGAUGUCCCUGGAAGACACUCAUGGUGCUUUAAUGUUGAUUCAAAUAGAAGUAGUUGCGACGAGGAAUUAACUUGUAGAUGCAGUGGCUGUGAAAAGCAAAUAAGAUCGUUAGCUUAUAGAAAUGCUUGCUCUGAUGUUUUAGAUUACGGAAAUGCUAAUGUUUAUGAAAGUUUAGAGAGUUUUGGAUUGGAGCUUACUGACUCUAAUACUUUGGAUAAGGAAGAUACUAUAUUUCAUUCUAAUUCCAAUCCAAAUCUUCCUUCAACCGUCGAUUUGGCUAAUAUAAAACAUUCGAGUGAUUCUAAAAAGCCACAUGAAUAUCCUAAAUCAAGCUCUUGUGAUUGUAUUGGGUUCUGCACAACAAACAGUUAUUUUAUCAGUAAAUAUUGCUACUUUUCUGAACCAAGUAUUGAAGAUCCGCUACAAAAACCAGCAUAUUCAAAACAAAAGAAAUCAAAAUAUAGCUGUUUAAAAAAGUCUUCCCAAAGAAGUGCUUUUCCCGUUGACGAAAAUGAUGUUAUAAAAAAAAUGCAGCGAUUCAAUGUUCAUGAACUUAAGAUUCUCGAUAAAAGCAAAAUGAUAUUGGGCACUUUUAAAAAUAUGUUUUCCACUGAUUUACCCGAACGUGGAAUACCAGAAGGAUUGGAAAAUGUGCAUUCAGUUUGUGAAUAUGCGCGAGAGUCUGAAACAGUAGAUCGCAAACCUUCGGGAAAUUCUGCGGCAACUCGUUUGAAAAAAUUAAGUAAAAGUUUGGACGGAGAUAAGCAUAAUAAUGGCAAUAUGACAGGAUGUCAAAAUAAAUUCAUUCAUAAUGUUGAUGAGCAAUUAAGAAAAAAGAAAAUUACUCAAGAUCCUAUAGUAACUGACGACAACUUAACUUGUCAAUCAAUCGAAAAAGUAGAUGCCUGUAUUUUGGAGAAUUUUGUAAAUGAAAAAGAAAAUAUAAAUAUUGCUGUAAAAGAAGAAUCUGCGCAAAAAUGUGCUAAGCAAAAUUAUCGCAACAAAUAUAUAAUAAAUUGCGUAAGUACGGUCUUUGAGCAUACAGGAAUUCCUGUAACGGACGAAGUAAAAAUAGACAAAUCGCCGAAGACUACAACUACAGUUGAAGCAGACAAAAAAUUUAUGGAUAUGAAACCUUUAUCAAAUGUGUUUGCAAAUAUUUUUAAAUCCAUAAAAGAAUCUGUUGUCUCACCUGCACCAAUACAGAAGCAAAACAAGUCACCGCAAAUUUCAAUAAUGACUGAUGCAACUCAUAAUGAAGUAAAUAAAAAGAUUUUGAAAGAAAAUUCAGAAUUAUCUGAAAAUAAUUCUGUAAUUGAUCUAGUUCCCAAAGAUAAUACUUUAAAAACCAUUAUAAAAAAUGAUGAUCUCAAUUCGUUUAUUAUAAAUAAGAAAUGUUUGAGUAAUUCUUUGCUCCAAAAUGUGAAUAGCGACAAUUAUAAACUAGUUGAAGAUAGCGAAUCUACACCUACAAAAGUUAAAUUGGGUAUUAAGAAGAAAAGUAACUUACACUUCAAUGAUAAAAACGCUAUGAUGAAUCCUGACUUGUUUGACUGUUUUCGACAUGACUUAGAGAACUUAAAUCCAAUUUUUUUUAAUGGAGAAAAUGACAAUUUACUAAAAGUGAAUCAAAAAAAUAUAAAUGGAGGUUGUAUGGAUGUUGUCACACCAUAUUACUUGAACAAAAUCAAAAAAAUGGCUCAUCCAACUAUACCAAAUUCGGUUAAUGUAUCUAUAAAUGGAUUAUUAAAAGCUUCGCAAUCAGCUUUGAUAAAUCGGUUUUUGCAUGAUGUUUCGAAAAACAAAAUCAUUGAAACUUCAAUUCGAAAUAAUAUGAUUUUCGCGAGAAAAAUGAGACAAUAUUCAACUUUUGGAGAAAGUUUAUACAUAAAAGGGAUUAAAACUUUGAACUAUGAUUUGAUUGAGGACUUGAAUGCGAAAAUAGAAUCGGAGAUGUCCUGCAGCAAUUUUAAUUUUGAUGAUUUAGUUAUUACUAAUAAAAAUGAUGUUUCUAAGCGAUUAUUUGAUAUCUCUCGGUUUCAAUUGGGAAUUGGCGAGGUUCCUGCAGAAAUAUUUGAUGGUAGUUGCCAACACUUAUUAAACGAUAAAAAUGAAAGUAUAAUGAAGGUCUUUAAAUUAUAUGCUGGAUAUAGCAAGGAAGGAUUCAUGACCCCUGUGCUGGUAUUUUUAACCGACAAGGCUUUGUAUGUUAGAGAUUUGGUUGAAAAUCGUCUUUGUAAUAAAUACAUACUUAAGUAUUCAGAAUUGGACGUUAUUUUGAUAGGACCGUAUGGAAAUACAGUUCUAUUAAGUAAUGUAUCACGAGAUAUGCAAAAGGUUUUACUGGCAGGUGGUCCACAUACAGCUGACGAGUUUGUGGCAAAUUUGGAGCUGUGUAUUCGUCGUGGAGGUUUCUUCCUUCCAGCGGUUGGUCAGCUGAACUUAGAAAACUUUAAUUCUUUACAGAGUUUCGUACGGCAGAAUCUAUUUCUUUCUUCUUCUGAUAGUUGGGUAUACUAUGCAGUUAUUAACAGCUCUACUGAGGCGAUAGUUUCCAAGGAGCAAUUUUCCGCACCAAGCAUAAAAGGUUUUUUGAUGUACAGACAUAUUCAAGAAAACUCUUUGAGUAAAAAAGAAAAUUGGGAUAUUGGUUUUUUCCUUUUAAAGGGGGGUUCUUUAUAUAUGUUUAGUGAUAUUGAUCAACAAAUACCAAAAUGGCUAAUAGAGUUAUCGGAAUGCCAAGGUUUCCGGCGGUCUGAAAAUGCUGAUAGACCUCAUUGUUUUGAGUUAAUUUUACAAAAAGGACUGUUGAAAUUGGCUGCACCGGAUGAACAUGCUGUUUUCGAAUGGCUUCAAGCUUUUAACAAAGUCGAGAAGGGGUUUUCCGAUAUGCACAAAAAACAGAAAAUUUUGGGUUGUACUUUGAUUAUGACAACAAACCACUUAGUUACUUUACGCGAAAACUUUACAUCUCCAUUAGGCUUCAAAUCGUUGAAAUUAGAAGACCAAGACCAAAAAUUAUUUAACAAUGUUGUUAUGGGAAAAUUCAAACCAAAUGCAACCAAUACGGAGGUCAAUGAGAAACCAAUUGUUUCUGAAACUUCGAAUUCUUCAAAAGAUUCAAUUUCAAAUGUAUCUAUAAAAGAGUCAAAUGUGAUAGCAUUGAAAGAGGCAAAAUCUAACAAUUCUUUUGAAUCGGAAAAUAUGAAUAAUUUUUAUGCAGAAAAUACUGGUAUUGAGAUAUUAACUUGCGCUUUCAUAAAAGAAAUAACGGGUGUGCGUAUUCCAUUAAAAUUUGAAAGUUGGUGGUGCAUUUUAGAAUUUUCUUGUCAAGAAGCUGGCGAAACAUUAAAUGAUCUGGUAAUUUUUUUUUCAAGUAGCUCAGAAAUGCAACGUUUUCUAAGAGUUUUAGAGCGGUUAUGGUUGGCUAAAAAUAUGGAUUUGUUUCCAUUAACGAUAUUAGAUGAGGAAGAUGUCAUAUCACAACAGUGCACAAAUGUAUUUAUUAAUAUAAGUAGGUCAUGGAUUCCGUUACUAAAUGCUGCUCUUUCGUACCCUGCAUAAAUAAUCACAAGAAAUUUAAUUUACAGUAGUGUGCCUCGCAAAACUUAAAGUUUUCGAAUGGAAUAUUUAUAUUUAAGGAUAUCAAAUGUUACCUAUGUAUUUCGAUUUGAUCUUGUGCAAGAAUUUGUUUCGAAUUUUGGAUUUUUUAAAAGAAACAAUUAUGUUAAUGGUUUUUUAAGGCUUAGCUGUUAAUGCCAUAUUAAACAAAAUUUCGGAUCAAUAAUUGAUAAUUUUCUAUGUAUGUAUGUACGUAAAUUAACUUUCGGAAUGUUUUGAAUAAAGAAACUUCAUAAAUAAUAACCAAUCUAUAAUUAUAUAAAUGUAUAAAUGUGCACUAAUUUAUUGAGUAAAUUAUGUUGUUUUACAUUAAAGCCCAAAUUAAAAUAUUGUUUAGAUUUUAGUUUAAUAGUGCAAUAAAUGAUUAUUAGUUGAAAAUUAAAAAAUUAUAGCAAAACAAACUGAAACAAUUUUUUCAUAUUAAAUAACAGAUAUUUUUUUAUAAGGAUAAUUCUCAUAUUAAUACAAUUUUUUUUUAUUUUUUAAUUAAAUUUAUUGUUAUUUACAAGAAAUUAAACAGGCGCUCUGUUGGUGCCGAAAUAGCUAUAAACUAUAUGAAUAAACUUAA